rnacentral:rRNA from 1 species
UGCCAGCAGCCGCGGUAAUACGAAGGUCCCAAGUGGCAACCAUGUUUAUUGGGUCUAAAGCGUUCGUAGCCUGUUCAGUAAAUCUUUUGUGAAAUUGCUAAGCUUAACUUAGCAAAGUGCAAGAGAGACUGCUGGGCUUGGGACCGGGAGGAGGCAGGAGUAUUCUUAGGGGAGCGGUAAAAUGCUAUAAUCCUAGGAGGACUACCUGUGGCGAAGGCGCCUGCCUAGAACGGGUCCGACGGUGAGGAGCGAAAGCUGGGGGAGCGAUCUGGAUUAGAUA